UACGUAGGGGGCUAGCGUUGUCCGGAUUUAUUGGGCGUAAAGAGCUCGUAGGCGGUUUGUCGCGUCUGCUGUGAAAACCCGAGGCUCAACCUCGGGCCUGCAGUGGGUACGGGCAGACUAGAGUGCGGUAGGGGAGACUGGAAUUCCUGGUGUAGCGGUGAAAUGCGCAGAUAUCAGGAAGAACACCCGUGGCUAAGGCGGCUCUCUAG
rnacentral:rRNA from 1 species